rnacentral:lncRNA from 1 species
AGGGCAAUCUCUGGCUAAAUGCCCCAACUCCUCACAUCGGUAACAUCUGGUUUUGCUCAAGUCCCUCCUGGACUUGGACCGCCCUCGUCGCGAUCUUCUGUCGCUCCGUCUACCGCCUCCUGCUCCUCCAAAAGCCAUCAAAGCUGAGCUACCACCAUUUGAGCUUGAAGCCGGGUUCUCUCUCCUGAGAACCUCAUUCCAAAGUAUCGCCGCGAUGAUCUCAUUCAUCUUGAUGGGGCUCUUUCUCACUAGAAGAGCAGUCACCAAGGACUCGUACGA